CAGUCGCCGCGGGAAUACGUAGGUGGCAAGCGUUGUCCGGAAUUAUUGGGCGUAAAGGGCUCGCAGGCGGUUUCUUAAGUCUGAUGUGAAAGCCCCCGGCUCAACCGGGGAGGGUCAUUGGAAACUGGGAAACUUGAGUGCAGAAGAGGAGAGUGGAAUUCCACGUGUAGCGGUGAAAUGCGUAGAGAUGUGGAGGAGCACCAGUGGCGAAGGCGACUCUCUGGUCUGUAACUGACGCUGAGGAGCGAAAGCGUGGGGAGCGAACAGGAUUAGAUACCCGAGUAGUCCCUGUCUCUUAUAC
rnacentral:rRNA from 1 species